rnacentral:rRNA from 1 species
GGUUAAGUUAGAAAGGGCGCACGGUGGAUGCCUUGGCACUAGGAGCCGAAGAAGGACGGGACUAACACCGAUAUGCUUUGGGGAGCUGUACGUAAGCGUUGAUCCAGAGAUUUCCGAAUGGGGGAACCCACUAUCUUUAGUCGGAUAGUAUCCUUACGUGAAUACAUAGCGUGAGGAAGGCAGACCCAGGGAACUGAAACAUCUAAGUACCUGGAGGAAGAGAAAGAAAAAUCGAUUUCCUGAGUAGCGGCGAGCGAAACGGAAAGAGCCCAAACCAAGAAGCUUGCUUCUUGGGGUUGUAGGACACUCUAUACGGAGUUACAAAAGAAAGUUAUAAAUGAAGCGGUCUGGAAAGGCCCGCCAAAGACGGUAACAGCCCGGUAGUUGAAAUGGCUUUCCCUCCAGAGUGGAUCCUGAGUACGGCGGAACACGUGAAAUUCCGUCGGAAUCCGGGAGGACCAUCUCCCAAGGCUAAAUACUCCCUAGUGACCGAUAGUGAACCAGUACCGUGAGGGAAAGGUGAAAAGCACCCCGGAAGGGGAGUGAAACAGUUCCUGAAACCGUGUGCCUACAAGUAGUUAGAGCCCGUUAAUGGGUGAUAGCGUGCCUUUUGUAGAAUGAACCGGCGAGUUACGAUUUGUUGCAAGGUUAAGCGGAAAAAGCGGAGCCGUAGCGAAAGCGAGUCUGAAUAGGGCGCAUAAGUAACAGGUCGUAGACCCGAAACCAGGUGAUCUACCCAUGUCCAGGAUGAAGGUAAGGUAAUACUUACUGGAGGUCCGAACCCACGCACGUUGAAAAGUGCGGGGAUGAGGUGUGGGUAGCGGAGAAAUUCCAAUCGAACUUGGAGAUAGCUGGUUCUCUCCGAAAUAGCUUUAGGGCUAGCCUCGAGGUAAAGAGUCAUGGAGGUAGAGCACUGUUUGGACUAGGGGCCCUUCUCGGGUUACCGAAUUCAGAUAAACUCCGAAUGCCAUGUACUUAUACUCGGGAGUCAGACUGCGAGUGAUAAGAUCCGUAGUCGAAAGGGAAACAGCCCAGACCACCAGUUAAGGUCCCCAAAUAUAUGUUAAGUGGAAAAGGAUGUGGGGUUGCUUAGACAACCA